rnacentral:rRNA from 1 species
GUUUGAUUAUGGCUCAGAUUGAACGCUGGCGGCAGGCCUAACACAUGCAAGUCGAGCGGUAGAGAGAAGCUUGCUUCUCUUGAGAGCGGCGGACGGGUGAGUAAUGCCUAGGAAUCUGCCUGGUAGUGGGGGAUAACGUUCGGAAACGGACGCUAACACCGCAUACGUCCUACGGGAGAAAGCAGGGGACCUUCGGGCCUUGCGCUAUCAGAUGAGCCUAGGUCGGAUUAGCUAGUUGGUGAGGUAAUGGCUCACCAAGGCGACGAUCCGUAACUGGUCUGAGAGGAUGAUCAGUCACACUGGAACUGAGACACGGUCCAGACUCCUACGGGAGGCAGCAGUGGGGAAUAUUGGACAAUGGGCGAAAGCCUGAUCCAGCCAUGCCGCGUGUGUGAAGAAGGUCUUCGGAUUGUAAAGCACUUUAAGUUGGGAGGAAGGGCAGUUACCUAAUACGUGAUUGUUUUGACGUUACCGACAGAAUAAGCACCGGCUAACUCUGUGCCAGCAGCCGCGGUAAUACAGAGGGUGCAAGCGUUAAUCGGAAUUACUGGGCGUAAAGCGCGCGUAGGUGGUUUGUUAAGUUGGAUGUGAAAUCCCCGGGCUCAACCUGGGAACUGCAUUCAAAACUGACUGACUAGAGUGUGGUAGAGGGUGGUGGAAUUUCCUGUGUAGCGGUGAAAUGCGUAGAUAUAGGAAGGAACACCAGUGGCGAAGGCGACCACCUGGACCAACACUGACACUGAGGUGCGAAAGCGUGGGGAGCAGACAGGAUUAGAUACCCUGGUAGUCCACGCCGUAAACGAUGUCAACUAGCCGUUGGGAGCCUUUGAGCUCUUUAGUGGCGCAGCUUACGCAUUAAGUUGACCGCCUGGGGAGUACGGCCGCAUGUUAAACUCAAUGAAUUUGACGGGGGCCCGCACAAGCGGUGGGAGCAUGUGGUUUAA